rnacentral:rRNA from 1 species
GACAGAGGUGCCAAGCGUUAGGCGGAAUCACUGGGCUUAAAGCGUGUGUAGGCGGACCGUUAAGUACCUUGUGAAAUCCCACGGCUCAACCGUGGAACGGCUGGGUAUACUGGCGGUCUUGGGCCACUCAGGGGCGAGCGGAACAAGUGGUGGAGCGGUGAAAUGCGUAGAUAUCACUUGGAACGCCGACGGUGAAAACAGCUCGCUGGGAGUGUGCCGACGCUGAGACACGAAAGCCAGGGGAGCGAACGGGG